CCUACGGGAGGCAGCAGUGAGGAAUAUUGGUCAAUGGCCGCAGGGCUGAACCAGCCAAGUCGCGUGAGGGAUGACGGUCCUAUGGAUUGUAAACCUCUUUUGUCAGGGAGCAAAGGGCGCCACGUGUGGCGUUUUGCGAGUACCUGAAGAAAAAGCAUCGGCUAACUCCGUGCCAGCAGCCGCGGUAAUACGGAGGAUGCGAGCGUUAUCCGGAUUUAUUGGGUUUAAAGGGUGCGCAGGCGGAAUGUCAAGUCAGCGGUAAAAUUUUGGGGCUCAACCCCGUCGUGCCGUUGAAACUGGCGGUCUUGAGUGAGCGAGAGGUAUGCGGAAUGCGUGGUGUAGCGGUGAAAUGCAUAGAUAUCACGCAGAACUCCGAUUGCGAAGGCAGCAUACCGGCGCUCAACUGACGCUCAUGCACGAAAGCGUGGGUAUCGAACAGGAUUAGAUACCCCGGUAGUC
rnacentral:rRNA from 1 species